GUGCAGCAGGCGCGAAACCUUCGCAAUGCAGGAAACUGCGACGAGGGAACUCCAAGUGCCUACGCUCAGCGUAGGCUGUUCUCAAGCCUAGAAAGCUUGAGGAGUAAGGGCUGGGUAAGACGGGUGCCAUCUGUGGUAGCAGUCAAUAGAUUCGAUUUGUUACUGCAAGGCAUAAGCCGCCGCGGUAAUACCCGCAGCCCAAGUGGUGGCCGCCUUUAUGGGCCUAAAGCGUCCGUAGCCGGCCCGGUAAAUGCCUGGGUAAAUCGUGGAGCCCCAACUUCACGAAUUCCGGGUAGACUGCCGAGCCUCGGGACCGGAAGAGGGAGAGGGUACUUCAGGGGUAGGGGUGAAAAGUUUUCCUUCCAUUAACGCUUUUGCGCGAAGCGG
rnacentral:rRNA from 1 species